CCUACGGGAGGCAGCAGUCGAGAAUCAUUCACAAUGGGGGAAACCCUGAUGGUGCGACGCCGCGUGGGGGAAUGAAGGUCUUCGGAUUGUAAACCCCUGUCAUGUGGGAGCAAAUUAAAAAGAUAGUACCACAAGAGGAAGAGACGGCUAACUCUGUGCCAGCAGCCGCGGUAAUACAGAGGUCUCAAGCGUUGUUCGGAACCACUGGGCGGAAAGCGUGCGGAGGCUGUUUCGUAAGUCGUGUGUGAAAGGCGCGGGCUCAACCCGCGGACGGCACAUGAUACUGCGAGACUAGAGUAAUGGAGGGGGAACCGGAAUUCUCGGUGUAGCAGUGAAAUGCGUAGAUAUCGAGAGGAACACUCGUGGCGAAGGCGGGUUCCUGGACAUUAACUGACGCUGAGGCACGAAGGCCAGGGGAGCGAAAGGGAUUAGAUACCCCUGUAGUC
rnacentral:rRNA from 1 species